rnacentral:rRNA from 1 species
UACAGAGGUCUCAAGCGUUGUUCGGAUUCAUUGGGCGUAAAGGGUGCGUAGGUGGCGUCGUAAGUCGGGUGUGAAAUUUCGGAGCUUAACUCCGAAACUGCAUUCGAUACUGCGGUGCUUGAGGACUGGAGAGGAGACUGGAAUUUACGGUGUAGCAGUGAAAUGCGUAGAGAUCGUAAGGAAGACCAGUGGCGAAGGCGGGUCUCUGGACAGUUCCUGACACUGAGACACGAAGGCCAGGGGAGCAAACGGG